AGAUCUGCCCUGUAGACCCUUGCAGUUCCACUGCUGGCCUCCGGAUUACCGGGAGCCCUCAGCUCGGCAGGACAACCUUCCUUCCCCGCUUCCUCCUUUCCAGACCCGGCGGCAGGAGAGGGGAUGAAGAUGGCGGACGCGAAGCAGAAGCGGAACGAGCAGCUGAAGCGCUGGAUCGGCUCCGAGACGGACCUCGAGCCUCCGGUGGUGAAGCGCCAGAAGACCAAGGUGAAGUUCGACGAUGGCGCCGUCUUCCUGGCUGCUUGCUCCAGCGGGGACACGGACGAGGUCCUCAAGCUGCUGCACCGCGGCGCCGACAUCAAUUACGCCAAUGUGGACGGACUCACUGCCCUGCAUCAGGUCUGUGCGCCCAGUCGCCGGCUCUCCUGACCCUGAGGGUCCUCGUCGGCCUCCCGCCGGGGCCUGCCCUCAGUUCUCCACCUCUUGAGGCUGGGGGCGGCGGGAGACUCCCUGCUGCGGGGUGAGGGGGCGGUUUCCCCGAGAGGGCGGGAGGGAGAGCUGGUGGAGGGGAGGGCGCUGGGCUUGAGGCCCCCUUCAUAACAGUUGCUGGUGGAGUUGGGAACCGGGUGAUUUCCGGGGCACAGGGGAAAAGGAACUGUGGUCGUCUUGGGGCCCCAGGGCCAUUGGUGCGAUGAGUCUGGGAUUUGGGGUCGAGACAAGGA